rnacentral:lncRNA from 1 species
UCUUAUCCAUUCCUUUUCUAAAAUUAUAAAAGUGGGUUUCUAUACUUAUUAGGGUAUAAUCUUUUUCUAUAUCUGUUAAGCAUUCUUGUCCUUCUGCAUUAAGCAGAGUAUAAUUUCUAAAUUCUUCUAGGUUUUCUUUUACAUUUUUGUUUUCUUUUAACAGGUUGUUAUUUUGGCAUUGAUUAUUUUGGCAAUCUUCGCAACAUGGUUUUGGAAGCAAACUCGUUUUGUGUGUGUUUAAUGUUUUAUAUACUGUUGGUAAUGUUACUGUUUGUACUGGUGUAUAAGUUAAGUUUUUAAAAAGCAUUAUUCCAUCUCUUGUUAAAAGACAUCCUCCUUUAUUCUGAAUACAAAAACGUAGUCCGAUAACAAAAUC